rnacentral:rRNA from 1 species
AGUGAACGCUGGCGGUAGGCCUAACACAUGCAAGUCGAACGGCAGCACAGUAAGAGCUUGCUCUUACGGGUGGCGAGUGGCGGACGGGUGAGGAAUACAUCGGAAUCUACUUUUUCGUGGGGGAUAACGUAGGGAAACUUACGCUAAUACCGCAUACGACCUACGGGUGAAAGCAGGGGAUCUUCGGACCUUGCGCGGUUGAAUGAGCCGAUGUCGGAUUAGCUAGUUGGCGGGGUAAAGGCCCACCAAGGCGACGAUCCGUAGCUGGUCUGAGAGGAUGGUCGGCCACACUGGAACUGAGACACGGUCCAGACUCCUACGGGAGGCAGCAGUGGGGAAUGUUGGACAAUGGGCGCAAGCCUGAUCCAGCCAUACCGCGUGGGUGAAGAAGGCCUUCGGGUUGUAAAGCCCUUUUGUUGGGAAAGAAAAGCAGCAGGUUAAUACCCCGCUGUUCUGACGGUACCCAAAGAAUAAGCACCGGCUAACUUCGUG